AAAUGUACAUACUUAUGUAUGUAUGAAUACUUGCUACAUACAUAGCUAUGUUCCUCUGCCGACGUCGACGUCGGUGAAUGUGACCCUUUCAGUUCCACUUUGACCAUGGCCAACUUUUUGGGGUAUAUUCGACCAGUGGACAGCCAAAACCAUUAUUUACCAACUACAAGGUGUUUGAACGCUAGCCAAUUAAGCAAAAACUUGAGCAAAUGCAAUGCAUUAGCCGGGAAUUCAAGAUGUGGAAAGUGCGUUGCUUUGAGCCAGGGUAUCAGCGCAUCGAACCAAUUUUCCAGUGUACAAGCUUCGCGCUCUACUGCUCCCGACUGUCAAAAUGCCGGCCACUACGCUGCAGACAUCACCAUCACAUAGUCAUAGUAUUUGGCUAUUCAAAACCCAUCACCCCACCAUCAUAGUCGUACCCAUAAACACGCAGGGUUCCCAGAACUCUUUUGGCCUCUGUUGUUCUCGUUCUUUAUUAUCACUCGUGGAGAGGUGUCGUUAACAAUGCAGAGAUGGAUAACCCCUAGUGACGUCACUCACCGGUGGGGCUACCUUCGCUCUCCUGCUGACAAUCCUUCUCCAGGAGCAGGAUGCACUCCCUCACCGUAUACCUGGCUUGGGCUAUGUCCCGAUGAAGGCGGUCCUUGGGCGCCCGCAAUCCCAUAAUCGUUGGCGCCAAUUCGGAACGCAUCUCGGCCAGGGUAUUCAGUAGAUCAGAGUACUUGUCCUCUAUGUUGGCAUUGGCAUCCAGAUCUGAAAAGGAUUUGGAGGAAAUUUUCAUAAAAUGUAUGUUGGCAUCAUCCCACAAAGGCCAUCAAUACCAGCUCCACCAGCACUCCCCCCUCCAUUCGCCAAUGACAUCAGCUGGAGCUGGUUCUGCAUGUACUUGGUGUACUCCAGUUUAGCCAUAACCUCCUUGUAUUCGG